AUCUUCCGCAAUGGACGAAAGUCUGACGGAGCAACGCCGCGUGAGUGAUGAAGGCUUUCGGGUCGUAAAACUCUGUUGUUAGGGAAGAACAAGUGCUAGUUGAAUAAGCUGGCACCUUGACGGUACCUAACCAGAAAGCCACGGAUAACUACCGACCAGCAGCCGCGGUAAUACGUAGGUGGCAAGCGUUACCCGGAAUUUUGGGGCGUAAAGCGCGCGCAGGUGGUUUCUUAAGUCUGAUGUGAAAGCCCACGGCUCAACCGUGGAGGGUCAUUGGAAACUGGGAGACUUGAGUGCAGAAGAGGAAAGUGGAAUUCCAUGUGUAGCGGUGAAAUGCGUAGAGAUAUGGAGGAACACCAGUGGCGAAGGCGACUUUCUGGUCUGUAACUGACACUGAGGCGCGAAAGCGUGGGGAGCAAAAAG
rnacentral:rRNA from 1 species